CUGUGGUCUGGUCCAGGAUGGCUGGUUUUAAGUUGUUCUUCCUCGCUAAGCUAGAAUCAGUCACAGGCUGUCCUGUAAGCUGGUUGGCAAUGAUAUGCUUCUUGGCUCUGUAAUGUUAAUUGUUGGUCCCCUCUGCUUCAAGAAAACAAGUAAUAUCCCACAAACAUUUAUUUUAAUCAAUUUAGCAGUUGUAUUAUUUCACACGCUUCUGGCAACAUUAUUUGACUCUUUUUGUCCUUUCCUUCCCUAUCCUCUGAAGACACUGAGAUAGAUAAGAGGAAAUGAAGGGCUGGCACUGUACAUCAAUGGCGAGCAGCAGGGGUAUAUAUGUUGUUCUGCCAUAGUUAGGUAAGCAGCAGCACAGACACCUCAGCUUGUUAAAAACUCAGUUCUCUGGUUUCUAGGCUCUUUGAGGCAGGUAUGGCCCUGAAAAGGUGCUGCUUGCAAACAACCAUUCUGCGGAGCUAAAAAUUGAAGGACAAAAGGUGACUGUCUUCAAGUAUGGAAAACACAAACUGCCAGUCCCCCACCCCCACCACAGUAUCACACUCAGGCUGGGGAUUAAGGCCAAUUUCUGUGGUGGUAUCUCAGAGUGAGGAGUUGCAGUGUUUUUCUCACAAGGAUCACGGUUAAGACUCCAGCAAAGUUUACAAGGUUAUAAAGGUGUAUGGUAUUACUUAUGAAUCCAGGGCCUGGGAAGACAAAUGGAGAUUUAAAGAUGCCAGAGUGCUGGGAUAAAAACCGAACCAACUGCUUACACAGCCAACACAGGGAAAUACGCUGCCUGCAUUCUUCUGGUCACACAGGGACAUGCUGCCAGGCAGGCCACCCAAAGCAUGUGCAUGAGCCUCUGCUGGCUCAGAGCACUGGGUCCAGCUGCCUCCUGACACUCACCUACUCUGUGCUGGGAGAAGUCACUUCAGUUGUUUGUACCUAGGCAGCUUUCUGGUUCUGUGUGUGUUUAUUUUGGUUAAGGCAUGCUGCUGCAGUGACUGUGUUAGCAUUGUAAUGUGGCCGCUCUGAAUGCGGACUGGCGUUUCAGUGCCACUAUCAUCUUCCGUGUUGAUUCCUGACAUAUACAUCAAGGCAACCUGCGCGGUCUCUUCUUCCUUCCACAUAUCACUUCUGCACAGGUAUUCAAGAGGAUUCAGUAGUCUCAACAUGGAUCAACUCCGCUCCCCAUCAUUAAGGUCUUUGCAUUUCCCAUCUUUGAGCUGUCGCUCUUCUUUUCGAAUUCUUACAGCAUGAUACCGGGGGACACUGUCUUCGUACCUAGAACGCUGGAAGAACCCGCACUGGGGCAAAGAAGAAAAAGAACAGUUUAGGUUCAGUUUGCUGCCAAAGUGCGGCUACAAUUAUGGGAGGCAGUAAAUUCUUCCUUUGCACAGACAGAUGUACAAGUAACAGAAGGAAGUGAAGGACUGAAAGAGAUGGACAUGAAUCCUGACAAACUACAAUGUACAAAGACAGCAGGGCUUGCGUGAGUGAUGCAGAAAAAGCAACUCUCUUGCUGAUAAACAGUUUUUGCAGAACCAAAACCAUCUCUCUCAGCCUUCUUGAUUUAUUUGUGAGGCGGAAGACCAAAAGAGUGCAACAGACCUACACAUUCACAGUGGCUCCUGCAGUGUCAUCUUGUACCUGCUCAGUCCUGCAUGCAGUAAGCACGUACACUCCCUGCCUGUGUGCAUCAGCUCACACCAGGACAUGCCACAGACAGGCUUCUGGGUUGAAGUUUUGUUCCCUGCCUGCACGGGGGUUUGUGCUGCAUGGCUGAGUGCACGAACUGCUCUGGAAAAAUGCGUACAGCCAGCCUCAGGACACUUCCUCAACACAGGACUGGAAAACAUCAAGGCCUAAAGAAGCUCUGUUCUGCAGUUAGACUACAUAUUCUGAUCAGGAAGUCAGGAUUUGGGGACAAGAAAAGGCAAUUUCAAAUCCAGCAACUUUUCCAAGUAUUUGUAUGCCUAAAGAGAGAAGCUGUUCAUUUGAUUAAAAGCAGCUGUUGACAUUAA